rnacentral:rRNA from 1 species
ACAGUCACACAUUAGAUACCCCGGUAGUCCUGGCCGUAAACGAUGUGGACUUGGUGUUGGAAUGGCUCCGAGUUACCGAGGUGCCGAAGGGAAACCGUGAAACGUGCCGCCUGGGAAGUACGGUCGCAAGGCUGAAACUUAAAGGAAUUGGCGGGGAGCACCACAACAGGUGGAGCCUGCGGUUUAAUUGGACUCAACGCCGGGAAGCUCACCGGAUAGGACAGCAGAAUGAUUGCCGGGCUGAAGACCCUGCAUGACUAGCUG